AGGGUUUGAUCCUGGCUCAGGAUGAACGCUAGCGGCAGGCUUAACACAUGCAAGUCGAGGGGUAUAGUUCUUCGGAGCUAGAGACCGGCGCACGGGUGCGUAACGCGUAUGCAAUCUACCUUUUACAGAGGGAUAGCCCAGAGAAAUUUGGAUUAAUACCUCAUAGUAUGUGAGAAUCGCAUGGUUUUCACAUUAAAGUUCCAACGGUAAAAGAUGAGCAUGCGUCCCAUUAGCUAGAUGGUAAGGUAACGGCUUACCAUGGCGACGAUGGGUAGGGGUCCUGAGAGGGAGAUCCCCCACACUGGUACUGAGACACGGACCAGACUCCUACGGGAGGCAGCAGUGAGGAAUAUUGGACAAUGGGCGCAAGCCUGAUCCAGCCAUGCCGCGUGCAGGAUGACGGUCCUAUGGAUUGUAAACUGCUUUUGUACAGGAAGAAACACUCCCUCGUGAGGGAGCUUGACGGUACUGUAAGAAUAAGGAUCGGCUAACUCCGUGCCAGCAGCCGCGGUAAUACGGAGGAUCCAAGCGUUAUCCGGAAUCAUUGGGUUUAAAGGGUCCGUAGGCGGUUUAAUAAGUCAGUGGUGAAAGCCCAUCGCUCAACGGUGGAACGGCCAUUGAUACUGUUAAACUUGAAUUAUUAGGAAGUAACUAGAAUAUGUAGUGUAGCGGUGAAAUGCUUAGAGAUUACAUGGAAUACCAAUUGCGAAGGCAGGUUACUACUAAUGGAUUGACGCUGAUGGACGAAAGCGUGGGUAGCGAACAGGAUUAGAUACCCUGGUAGUCCACGCCGUAAACGAUGGAUACUAGCUGUUGGGAGCAAUCUCAGUGGCUAAGCGAAAGUGAUAAGUAUCCCACCUGGGGAGUACGUUCGCAAGAAUGAAACUCAAAGGAAUUGACGGGGGCCCGCACAAGCGGUGGAGCAUGUGGUUUAAUUCGAUGA
rnacentral:rRNA from 1 species